UCUGAAUCACUAUGGCAUGGUCUGUCAAUAAAUUACAGCAAAAGUGUAAAUGUGAAUUUUGUAAAAUCUCUUCCCAUGACUAAUCUAUUUGACUGUCUUAUCUGUACAUAGAGAAACAAUAACUUAUUAUUUUGAGUCACUGAUAUGUUCACUGACAGAAUUUUGAGAGCUGACUAAAACUAUUUGUUUGCCUAUAUGAAAAGUGUACACAUUUACAGCUUUGUUUCUGCUAGCUUGCAGGAAUUGUAACUUACAUAAAUGGUUGAAGACAGCUUAUUGGCCUUCAUGAGACUCAGAUAAAUGAGAGGAUCACACCUGUCGACAACAAACAAAGGUUUAAGAACUACUGAAUUUUCAGUCAGAAAUGAUCACACCGCCUGGUUGAAGUAUCAGUCUCCAUAUGCAAGUCAACAAAGCAGAGAGGAAACACCUGAUUGACAACAUGUGAGUCUCAAUUUCAACCUGUGACUGGGAAGACUACAACCAUCCUGAGCAAACUCUGAACUCAGUGACUUGUUACUCUCAACCCAGAACAAAAAUCGUUUUAUC